GAUGAACGCUGGCGGCGUGCUUAACACAUGCAAGUCGAACGGGGUACCCCCAAAGGAGUUUUCGGACAACUGCGGGGAAUACCUAGUGGCGGACGGGUGAGUAACGCGUGAGUAACCUGCCUUGGAGUGGGGAAUAACAGCUGGAAACAGCUGCUAAUACCGCAUAAUGCAGUUGGGUCGCAUGGCUCUGACUGCCAAAGAUUUAUCGCUCUGAGAUGGACUCGCGUCUGAUUAGCUAGUUGGUAGGGUAACGGCCUACCAAGGCGACGAUCAGUAGCCGGACUGAGAGGUUGGCCGGCCACAUUGGGACUGAGAUACGGCCCAGACUCCUACGGGAGGCAGCAGUGGGGAAUAUUGGGCAAUGGGCGCAAGCCUGACCCAGCAACGCCGCGUGAAGGAAGAAGGCUUUCGGGUUGUAAACUUCUUUUAAGAGGGAAGAGUAGAAGACG
rnacentral:rRNA from 1 species